UAGCGUCACCCCCGGCGGCCGGCGCACGGCCUCACCACCCCUCGCCUAACUUUCCUAGUGUCACCCCCGGCGCCCAGAGAUCGAAGCUUCGAGCAGGAAACGCCCCCGCCCUCCAUCUCCCCCGCGUCCAUGGCCAGGAGCACCGUCCCCCUCACCACCCCGACGCCUGGAGAUCCAUCCUCAAACACCGCUGCUGGGGCGCCGUCCCACGCUAGGACCCCCGCGCCUCGCAAUCAAAGUCACUGGCAACUCUGACGACCUAGGGCUCACAGGCAAGCAUCGUGUCUCAUGUCCGCCUUCUGCUUCCCCUCGCGCUCGCCACCGGCAUUCAUCCCUGCUUUGGGCCUUCCAGAGGCUAGCGCCGCGAUGGCCGACCCGGGCGCCUCCGUCAACAUCGCUGCGCGCCACCACCUCACGCCGCAGCUCGCGGGGCAGCCACCGGUGACACAUGCGGGCUGGUGGGGAGGGGCGCGUCCGUACCGCCAUGGGAGGGGGCAUGGCAUCAAGGGUGAGGGAGGGGCGUCGAGGAGGCGGACGCCAACAAGCCCACACAUCCAACACCCUACCAGGUCUUUGAUGCUGCUGCUUCACCAAACAAUGAAAUGCUCUUGAUGCAUGAUUCAGGAGCUAGGAGGAUAUCUAUUGUCGUCGAGUUACAUGAAGUUGACUUUCCUCUGCUGCUGCUGCUGUGCUCAGUGUGGAUGACAUUGUGUUGCCUCAGGUGACCAUCCUUGGACUCAUGUCUAUGACCGUGUUCCUCAAAAUAAAGAUGUCACAUGGGCAGAUUGAAGGUGACACCAAAUUCUUUGGGGCUCUGGCUUUUGUAAUUUUCUCAGGAAAGUUGGAUUUGUGCUCAGUAGGGAGGCCAUUUAGUUAUGCAAAUUACAUACGGUUAAUUGUUAAUGAUUUGAAGAAUGACCUACAAGAUCUCUUUACUUUGGACCUCUUCAAUUACACUUUUUGAAAAUAUGUGUACUUGCUGUUCAAAUGUUAUUAAUAGACUCAGAACUUGACCAAAACGUAUGGGUACUCAUUCAUUUAUUAUUCCUUUUUACAUCCAUCAUUUCCAUGGAGUUGUACUUCCAAAUUUCAUAAUCGUUGGCAUGAUUGUUCUGCUCAUCUCUAAGUUGUCAAAUCUUUGGCAUUUCCAGAUGAAGGCAAUGUUAGGUAAAUAUAUUUAUCUUACCAUUCUUUUCAUCUCACUAUUAUCUUUGUCGACAAACAAUUCCGAUUUACUAGCACGCGAUUUUUCUUACAAAACCAUUUAAUACAAUUCAAUAAUAGAAAGAACUCAAAAAAGGAUAUUGAAACUUCACAUGAAGUAUGCUUUACUGCCUUAAAAUAACUAUAUUCAACGAAACUUAACUAUUAAACCAAAUGUCAUCGUAGGGUCCAGACGAUUUAACAUUUAAUAAUCUUGAAAUUAUGUCCAGUACAUUAGAAUUACCCACAAAAAAAGUUCUUUCAUCUUUGUUUUUUUGGAAUGCUAAAACAUUUGUGUUAUUAUGGUAAAUAUUGUUGCUUAGCACAUUUCUCAUCAAAGAAAUUCUACAACACAGGCCCAAACAAAUUUUUGAAGCAGUCCAUAACCUUAGUUCUGUAACACUUGCUUGAAACAUGAAUAAUGUACUUCCUCCUAAUUUUCCUAACGUUUGUUUUUUCUAAUUCCAUAAAAAACGAAAGCUUACAAAAAUCAUUAUUGUGUUAUAUUUUCCACUAACUUUUACAAAAACAUUUGUCUAUCCAGGAACAGAAGGAUUAGUGCAUGUCGUUGCAUAUGGCUCUUUUACAGAAACUUUUAUAGCUAAUUUAUUUUGUAUGACGUCAUGUAUGCCCCUAGGACAUACGUGGCUCUUUUUGCAGGUAUAUACAUGUCAAUAUCUUGGACUACUAAAAUAAACAGAAUUGCUAAAGACAAUGAUGUUGAUAAACACAACACUACUAUACGUUACGUAUAGAAUUAAUAUUCUUUAUCAUAUUAUUUU